AUCAGCUCGCUUCUGGCAAUUGUUUCUUGCUCGGAUUUACCUGAUUUCUUUAUAUAGAGGAUAAAGUGUCCAAACACAGAGAAAAACUCCUGCUGAAGCGACUGAUCUCCACACUGUUAUAAAGAUGGCGUUUAUUAAAGAGGAGAGUGAAGAUGUGAAGAUUGAAGAAACAUUCACAGUCAAACGUGAAGAUCUGCAGGAACAAACAGACCUAAUUGAAGAGAAUGAGGGGAGAAAAGAGGAGGAACAUCAUGUCAAAGUUGAGGACAAAACUCAUUUACAGACUGAUGGUAUUUUGAAAAAGAGAGACAAGAAUUGUUUCAACUGCACUCAGUGUGGGAAGAGUUUCAGCCAAUCAUCAU